CCUACGGGAGGCAGCAGUGGGGGAUAUUGCACAAUGGGGGGAACCCUGAUGCAGCGACGCCGCGUGUGGGAAGACGGUCCUCUGGAUUGUAAACCACUGUCCCCAGGGACGAAACUGACGGUACCUGGGGAGGAAGCUCCGGCUAACUACGUGCCAGCAGCCGCGGUAAUCCGUAGGGAGCGAGCGUUGUCCGGAAUUACUGGGUGUAAAGGGAGCGUAGGCGGGGAUGCAAGGUGGGUGUCAAAACUACCGGCUCAACUGGUAGUCGCACUCAAAACUGCAGCUCUUGAGUGAAGUAGAGGCAGGCGGAAGUCCGAGUGUAGCGGUGAAAUGCGUAGAUAUUAGGAGGAACACCAGUGGCGAAGGCGGCCUGCUGGGCUUUGACUGACGCUGAGGCUCGAAAGUGUGGGGAGCAAACAGGAUUAGAUACCCUGGUAGUC
rnacentral:rRNA from 1 species